GAGUUUGAUCAUGGCUCAGAUUGAACGCUGGCGGCAUGCCUUACACAUGCAAGUCGAACGGCAGCACGGGAGCUUGCUCCUGGUGGCGAGUGGCGAACGGGUGAGUAAUGCAUCGGAACGUAUCCUGGAGUGGGGGAUAACGUAGCGAAAGUUACGCUAAUACCGCAUAUUCUGUGAGCAGGAAAGCGGGGGACCUUCGGGCCUCGCGCUCUUGGAGCGGCCGAUGUCGGAUUAGCUAGUUGGUGAGGUAAAGGCUCACCAAGGCGACGAUCCGUAGCAGGUCUGAGAGGAUGAUCUGUCACACUGGAACUGAGACACGGUCCAGACUCCUACGGGAGGCAGCAGUGGGGAAUUUUGGACAAUGGGGGCAACCCUGAUCCAGCCAUGCCGCGUGAGUGAAGAAGG
rnacentral:rRNA from 1 species